GCAAGUGUUCUCCCAGGCUGAUGACAAAGAGUAGCAGAAGCAAUGAUCCUGAUUGUUAUGGUAUCCAAGAAGCCUGGAUGGAUUGAGGCAGUUUGUCCUGUUCACCGAUUAAAUCUUGAGGAUCAUUUUCAUAUCUUUUAAGGAAAAUUACUUGUCCAAGACACAUGAUUGCUCGUGAGAUUUGUUUCUUCUAGGCUACAAGCUGCGAACUUCCAACUUCCCCUGCGACCUGGGAACCCUGAGAUAACUGAUGCAUGAACUCCACAUCCACUGGACACUAUGGCUGCCGCUUUCAGAUCUCACUUCUCUCCCUCAAGCACCAUUUCCCCUUCUUCCCCACUUUAAGUUGAGCUCUACGACCAUUUCCAGCAGGAUGUAGCUACAGAAGAGUUGAGACCACCGACC
rnacentral:lncRNA from 1 species